ACCGUAGGGGACAAUCGUUAUCCGGAUUUACUGGGCGUAAAGCGCACGUAGGCGGUGAGGUAAGUUGGGUGUGAAAGCUCCCGGCUUAACUGGGAGAGGUCUGACAAAACUGCCUGGCUUGAGGCUGAGAGAGGGGAGCGGAAUUCCCGGUGUAGUGGUGGCAUGCGUAGAUAUCGGGAGGAACACCAGUGGCGAAGGCGGUUCUCUGGCUCAGAACUGACGCUGAGGUGCGAAAGCGUGGGGAGAGAACGGG
rnacentral:rRNA from 1 species